rnacentral:tRNA from 1 species
AUCCGGGUAGCUCAGCUGGCAGAGCGGCGGUCUCCAAAACCGCAGGUCGAUUGGGUUCGAAUCCCUCCCUGGAUGCCA